UGGCGGACGGGUGAGUAACGCGUGGAUAACCUGCCGUAUACAGGGGGACAACACUUAGAAAUAGGUGCUAAUACCGCAUAAGCGCACGGUUCCGCAUGGAACAGUGUGAAAAACUCCGGUGGUAUACGAUGGAUCCGCGUCUGAUUAGCCAGUUGGCGGGGUAACGGCCCACCAAAGCGACGAUCAGUAGCCGGCCUGAGAGGGUGAACGGCCACAUUGGGACUGAGACACGGCCCAAACUCCUACGGAAGGCAGCAG
rnacentral:rRNA from 1 species